rnacentral:rRNA from 1 species
UACGAAGGGGGCUAGCGUUGCUCGGAAUCACUGGGCGUAAAGGGUGCGUAGGCGGGUCUUUAAGUCAGGGGUGAAAUCCCAGAGCUCAACUCUGGAACUGCCUUUGAUACUGGGGAUCUCGAGUUCGGGAGAGGUGAGUGGAACUGCGAGUGUAGAGGUGAAAUUCGUAGAUAUUCGCAAGAACACCAGUGGCGAAGGCGGAUCACUGGCCCGAUACUGACGCUGAGGUGCGAAAGCGUGGGGAGCAAACAGG